UGUAGAGCGAUGAAAAGAAGUAGUAAAUCGGUGGUGUAUUUGGUAAAGAGAUCUGAUGGUUGGUGAAAAUCAGAAGUAUACACGGUUGAACUCGUCUUGGAGCACUUUAUGGGAUAUGUACUGUAAAGCGUAAAAUCUGCGUUAAAGAUUAAAGCGCCCAUAAUUGUUUAUGGGAACUAAGGUGGUACCGCGGUAAUUGAUUAUCGUCCUUUGC
rnacentral:ncRNA from 1 species